CCUACGGGGGGCAGCAGUGAGGAAUAUUGGUCAAUGGACGAGAGUCUGAACCAGCCAAGUAGCGUGAAGGAUGACUGCCCUAUGGGUUGUAAACUUCUUUUAUAUGGGAAUAAAACGUCUCACGUGUGGGAGUUUGUAUGUACCAUAUGAAUAAGGAUCGGCUAACUCCGUGCCAGCAGCCGCGGUAAUACGGAGGAUCCGAGCGUUAUCCGGAUUUAUUGGGUUUAAAGGGAGCGUAGGUGGAUUGUUAAGUCAGUUGUGAAAGUUUGCGGCUCAACCGUAAAAUUGCAGUUGAAACUGGCAGUCUUGAGUACAGUAGAGGUAGGCGGAAUGCGUGGUGUAGCGGUGAAAUGCUUAGAUAUCACGAAGAACUCCGAUUGCGAAGGCAGCUCACUGGACUGCAACUGACACUGAGGCUCGAAAGUGUGGGUAUCAAACAGGAUUAGAUACCCGGGUAGUC
rnacentral:rRNA from 1 species